UCUCGUUCACAUCCUGAGAGAAGCAGUGAGAAAAGAAAGAGUCCUCGUGCCGGCGGUGGGUCCACAAUGUGCCGUGCCGGGAUGGUGGCAUCCGAAAAAAAACCACAAAAACACAACAAAAACAGCUAGAGAGCGGUGUGCCCCCUCCUCUCCCUGGAGGCCACCCUGCCAUCUGAACCCCACAAUGUCCGGGCCCAAAGCCAGACCACCUCCACUCCGGGUCGACUCCUCCGCCCCCCAUAGAGGGCGCUUCCGCCCCCCUGCCUCAUACCACCUCAAGCGCACAAUGAGGCCGCUUCUUCUUCGGCCACCUGCAUCAUCCUCACUCCCCAUGACGUCUUUGUUUUAGCACCAAAAGCUGUGGAACGCCGCCUGCCCGCGUGGUUUUCAGAUUCAAGAGUAUCAUUUAAACUCCAUCUCAAAACAUACCUGUUUACACUGGCAUUUGGUUAAAUUAAACAUUAUAUGGCCUGA